UACGAAGGGGGCUAGCGUUGUUCGGAAUCACUGGGCGUAAAGGGCGCGUAGGCGGCCGUUCAAGUCGGGGGUGAAAGCCUGUGGCUCAACCACAGAAUUGCCUUCGAUACUGGACGGCUCGAGACCGGAAGAGGUCAGUGGAACUGCAAGUGUAGAGGUGAAAUUCGUAGAUAUUCGGAAGAACACCAGUGGCGAAGGCGACACACUGGCCCGUUACUGACGCUGAGGCGCGAAAGCGUGGGGAGCAAACAGG
rnacentral:rRNA from 1 species